AUUGAACGCUGGCGGCAGGCCUAACACAUGCAAGUCGAGCGAGCGGUGGACGGGUGAGUGAUGUCUGGCAAUUGUCCAGUCGAGGGGGAUAACAGUUGCAAAUGACUGCUAAUUCUGCAUACGAUUGGAUUGCCCAGGUGGGAUGAGCUAGUGGGUGGGGUAAUGGCUCAUCAAGGCGACGAUCCCUAGCUGGUCUGAGAGGAUGAUCAGCUACACUGGAACUGAGACACGGUCCAGACUCCGACGGGAGGCAGCAGUGGGGAAUAUUGGAGAAUGGGCGAAAGCCUGAUACAGCCAUGCCGCGUGUGUGAAGAAGGUCUUCGGGUUGUAAAGCACUUUCAGCGGGGAGGCGUUACUCGCAGAGGAAGCACCGGCUAACUCCGUGCCAGCAGCCGCGGUAAUAC
rnacentral:rRNA from 1 species